AUUGAACGCUGGCGGAAUGCUUUACACAUGCAAGUCGAACGAUGAAGUCUAGCUUGCUAGACGGAUUAGUGGCGAACGGGUGAGUAAUAUAUCGGAACGUAUCCAUUAAUGGGGGAUAACUAGUCGAAAGAUUGGCUAAUACCGCAUACGUCCUACGGGAGAAAGCUAGGGACCUUCGGGCCUGGCGUUAAUGGAGCGGCCGAUAUCUGAUUAGCUAGUUGGUGAGGUAAAGGCUCACCAAGGCGACGAUCAGUAGCUGGUCUGAGAGGACGACCAGCCACACGGGAACUGAGACACGGUCCAGACUCCUACGGGGGGCAGCAGUGGGGAAUUUUGGACAGUGGGCGCAAGCCUGAUCCAGCCAUUCCGCGUGAGUGAAGAAGGCCUUCGGGUUGUAAAGCUCUUUCGCAAGGGAAGAAAACUUACCCUCUAACAUAGGGUGAGGAUGACGGUACCUUGAUAAGAAGCACCGGCUAACUACGUGCCAGCAGCCGCCGUAACAC
rnacentral:rRNA from 1 species